rnacentral:rRNA from 1 species
ACGUAGGGGGCAAGCGUUAUCCGGAUUUACUGGGUGUAAAGGGAGCGUAGACGGCGACACAAGUCUGAAGUGAAAUACCUGGGCUCAACCUGGGAACUGCUUUGGAAACUGUGUUGCUAGAGUGCUGGAGAGGUAAGCGGAAUUCCUAGUGUAGCGGUGAAAUGCGUAGAUAUUAGGAAGAACACCAGUGGCGAAGGCGGCUUACUGGACAGUAACUGACGUUGAGGCUCGAAAGCGUGGGGAGCAAACAG